GUCGUAGUCCGGAUUGGAGUCUGCAACUCGACUCCAUGAAGUCGGAAUCGCUAGUAAUCGCAAAUCAGAAUGUUGCGGUGAAUACGUUCCCGGGCCUUGUACACACCGCCCGUCACACCAUGGGAGUGGGUUGCACCAGAAGUAGCUAGCUUAACCUUCGGGAGGGCGGUUACCACGGUGUGAUUCAUGACUGGGGUGAAGUCGUAACAAGGUAGCCCUAGGGGAACCUGGGGCUGGAUCACCUCCUUA
rnacentral:ncRNA from 1 species